rnacentral:rRNA from 1 species
UACAGAGGGGCCGAGCGUUGUUCGGAUUCAUUGGGCGUAAAGGGUGCGUAGGCGGUCGGGUAAGUCUGAUGUGAAAUCUCACAGCUUAACUGUGAAACUGCAUUGGAUACUAUCCGGCUAGAGGAAUGGAGGGGAGACUGGAAUACUUGGGUGUAGCAGUGAAAUGCGUAGAUAUCAAGUGGAACACCAGUGGCGAAGGCGAGUCUCUGGACAUUUCCUGACGCUGAGGCACGAAGCCAGGGGAGCAAACGGG